GUCUAACUGACGAGUCCCAAGUAGGACGAAACGUGCGUCCUGGAU
rnacentral:hammerhead_ribozyme from 1 species